rnacentral:lncRNA from 1 species
UCUUUACAGGAGCUAUUUUAAACCAGAAUCAUUAGAUGCAGUACUGUGUGUUAAUGGCAAUUAGCUUCUGACUACCGCUAAGGGUUCCUCAUCUACCAUUGACAUUAAUUAUUCUAUUUUGGCUCAUUGACUUGCAAAAUCACUAAAUGAUUCCUUUGUUACAAAACACCACAUUCAAAGAGCAUAUCUGAUGGAAACACAGGUCUGCUCAUCAUCUUAUUGCUAUUGAGAACUUGUCACUUUGGAGAAGAAUUGGAGAAAACAGAAAUUUUUGCAAAUGGUUUUCAAAAGAAAUUAAAGUUGUUAUAUUUAGAGUGUGUCUGCUUGUCACUCAUGCUUUAGCUGUCUUACAGUAGAGGGCAGAAGUGAAUUCUUUUCAAUUUGCAAUCUUCAGGCUUGUAAAUUGAAAAAUUCACAUCUGCCCUUUCUAGCUUAAGAAAGAUUGACAGCAAAAGGUCACAUUUUCAAAAUGAAUAUGUUAUGAAUUACCCCUUAUGUUGUAUCAUUAUUUUCAGAUUUUAUAUUGGCCCGCUGCAAUAGUUUUUGAGCACCCAGUAAUCUUUAACAUAGUUAUACUUGCAACACCUAUAUGACAGAGGGAAGUCCUAUUAUCUUUCUGUUUGUAACCAGAAAACCCAAUUGCAACAAGUCUUGUUGACUUGUCUGUGGUUGCAUGAGAAGUCUGUGAUAAAAUCAGUUGUCAUGUUACUAUACAAGUUGCUCGACCCCUGGUUAUGUUGUAGUGUCUUCUGCAAGGUGGGACUCCAUCUCUGUUUCUAAGGAUGAGGAUGCAGGUUUUAUCUCACUCUGUGUGCUUUCUGAUUUAUUGCUGUAAAAUUUCUGACAUAUUACCAUACAUUUGAAUGUUUUACAAGGUUUCUGACUUGAGGCACUGACGAACCAAGGAAACAGUCGACAAAGAUCAGCAGUCAGCUGGUGCAUGACAACAAACAAGAGCAGGAAUUCCAGAGAGCAGCAGGCUUGCCUCUAUUUAAGUGGAGUAAUGAGAGAACAGACAGCAGAAGAGCCAGGAACAGGUAGUAAUGGUUGGUGUGUGCCCAGUUAGAUAAUGUUUUAUCUCAGAGAGGGCUGGAAUGCCACGAGACAUCGAGUGAGGACAUACACAAUACAGAUCACUGGCAGGUUGUAGAGGUAUUUGCUGUGAUAUCAAAGAUAGAUGAUAUCUUCUGCACUGGUGGUUGCAUUUUGAGAAUUUCUUUCAAAAACUGUUUAUAGGUACAUAUCCUAAGGAGAGUAUCUCUUUUGGAUCCAGAGUGUGUAAAGUAACUUAAACAUAUAAUACUGUGUAGUGCUAGCGCUUCCCUAAGAUGCUGAACUCUAAGUGUGAGUUUUAAUCCUGACAGUCUGAAAUAGAGUCUAAAUGGUUAAAACCGGAGUACCUGACUUGUAUUGACUGUGUCCUGCAUUAGAUCUCAUUUGACAGUCUCCAGCUGUGGGAACUAGGACUGCUGCUGUGAUCUCCCUGUUAAACAGGUCAUUUUGAGCCAUUCAUUAUAGCUCACCACUUCCUGCAAGUAUAAGGAGUUUUUCAGGUAUCAAGCAAUGUAUAUUCUGUAGAGCUACUGCGAUCCUUCAUUUGAGAGGGGCUUGUCACAUCAGCCUGGCCGUGAAAGGCCUCUCCUUAAAUGUUUUAUUUUAAAAUAAAGUGUAGCUCAAGGCCUGGUAUGAUAACUUC